rnacentral:rRNA from 1 species
GACGAACCGAGCGAACGUUGUUCGGAAUCACUGGGCUUAAAGGGCGCGUAGGCGGACCGUCAAGUCAGGGGUGAAAGCCCGCGGCUCAACCGCGGAAGUGCCUUUGAUACUGGCGGUCUCGAGGGAGGUAGGGGCGUGCGGAACUUCCGGUGGAGCGGUGAAAUGCGUAGAUAUCGGAAGGAACACCGGUGGCGAAAGCGGCGCGCUGGACCUCUUCUGACGCUGAGGCGCGAAAGCCAGGGGAGCGAACGGG